AGUGUUGGCCUCAUAAGGCUAUUGCAAAGACUGAGAUAAUACAUGAGAAGUGACAAGAACAGUGUCUGGUGCAUAAGAAACAGCACCCAGGACUAUCUUCCAAAGAGUUCUGGAUAUCCUAAAGAAAUCUUCUCAUGCUGUUGAGCUUGCCUGCAGAGAUCCAUCCCAAGUGGAAAACCUGGCUUCCAGUCUGCAGUUAAUAACAGAAUGCUUCAGGUGUCUUCGCAAUGCUUGCAUAGAGUGUUCUGUGAACCAGAAUUCAAUCAGGAACUUGGAUACGAUUGGUGUUGCUGUUGAUUUGAUUCUUCUGUUUCGUGAACUGCGAGUGGAACAGGAAUCUCUGUUGACAGCUUUUCGCUGUGGCCUGCAGUUUUUAGGCAACAUUGCCUCA
rnacentral:sRNA from 1 species